rnacentral:tRNA from 1 species
UCCCUGGUGGCUCAGAGGGUAAAGCAUCUGCCUGCAAUGCAGGAGACCCGGGUUCGAUCCCUGGGUCGGGAA